rnacentral:rRNA from 1 species
AUAUGCUUGCUCCGAAGCUUAAGCCAUGCAUGUCUAAGAAUAAAGUAGCUGAUCCAGAAUCUGCGAACGGCUCCGUAUAUCUGUUAUAACCUAUCGACCCCACCGAAACACGGAUAACCACGGUAAUUCUGUGGCUAAUACGUGAACAAAGGGCUGGCAGCAAUGCCGGCUCGGCCUCGCGGCUCUUAUCAACGCCCUUCGGGGUAGCGUGAGCAGCUCGUGAGCGUCCCAGACCGCCCAUCAGGCGGCGUGUUCGGAGGGUUCCAGACCUAUCAACUAGAAGACUGUGGAGAGCACAGCCUUGGUUAUAACGGGUACAGAGGAUUAGGGUUCGGUCCUGGAGAGGUAGCCUGAGAGAUCGCUACUACUUCUAAGGAAGGCAGCAGGCGCGCAACGUUCCCAAUGGGCAUGCCCCUGAGGACGUGAAGGGGCAUAGCAAUACCGCACUAUAGUGCGGUAAUUGAAAUGGAGUGUCCUUAAAUAACACUCUGAGUAACAAUUGGAGGACAAGUCUGGUGCCAGCACCCGCGGUAAUUCCAGCUCCAAUAGCAUCUAAUUAAGUUGUUGCAGUUAAAACGCUCGUAGUCCGAGUCGGUGCGGCCGAGCGGAGCAUAGUAACGCGGGGGGUUCAGGCGGCAACAUAGGGGCACCGGCAACGGUCGCCCUUUGAGCCGUCUCCCCUGUGAGAACACUCCGGUUGGCCCACCGUCUCUGGGGCGGUUAGCUGGGGGCCGGCUUCAUUGCCUGAGCUCUCGGUCCGCCUCGCUUUACUUUGAAUAAACUCAAGCGCUCAAAGCAGGCCUUAGGGCCUCUCAUUAACCCACCGAAGAUCGCAGCAAAGGAUAAUGGAACAGGAUACCCUCCUGCUUCGUUGGUGUGCGACGGGUAUAAUGGUCAAUAGGGGGGAUCGGGGUCGGCCACAUGGCGGGGGUAGGGGUGAAAUCUGUUGAUCCUCGCCAGGUGAACUAACGCGAAAGCAGCCGACAAGUACCCUUUCUUUGAUCAAGAACGAAAGUCUGGGGAUCGAAGACGAUUAGAUACCGUCGUAGUCCAGACCCUAAAUGCUGCCGACCAUGGAUGAGCCCUCGUCCAUCCCGACAGAGCUUGGACCUUGUAGGAAACUAUUAAGUGUUUGGGCUCUGGGGGGAGUAUGGUCGCAAGACUGAAACUUAAAGGAAUUGACGGAAAAGCACACAAGGAGUGGAGCCUGCGGCUUAAUUUGACUCAACACGGGAAAACUUACUAGAGCAAGAAAGGGGUAUGAGGGUCAGCUCAGCAGGGCUUACCCGAUUCCCUUAGUGGUGGUGCAUGGUCGUUCUUAGUUCGUGGAGUGAUUUGUCUGGUCUAUUCCGCUAACGAGCGAGAACCUAACUUCCUAAAGUUGGGGAGCUGGGCAUGCCGAUCUCCCAGCAAUGGUCGAGACUGGCUGAAAACGCCCGGUGCCCUGGCCUUGGGGGACUAACCUCGCCAAGAGGUAGGUAGCAGGUCAAUAACAGGUCAGUGAUGCCCUUAGAUGCUCUAGGCCGCACGCGCGCUACAAUGGGGUGAGUAACGGGUUCCUGUGCCAGGCGGCAAUGGGGAAUCCUGUAAAGCCCCCCAAACUCGGGAUAGGGCUAUGUAACGCGGCCCUUAAACAAGGAAUUUCUAGUAGUCAUGCGUCAUCACCGCGUGACGAUUC